GACGAGGUGUCGUUCCAGGACGGGGACACGAUCAUCAACGUGCAGCAGAUCGAUGACGGCUGGAUGUACGGCACGGUGGAGCGCACGGGGGACACGGGCAUGCUCCCGGCCAACUACGUGGAGGCCAUCUGAGCCCGGGGCCACCUCCUGCCCGCCCUGUCCCCUCCCCCCCGUGCGCCUCCUGUCCCCUCCCGCUGUCCCCGUGUCCCCUCCGGCUCCGGUUUUCUCUCGCCGGUUCAAAGCUCCGGGGCUUUCCUGCUCCUGUCCCUGGUGGGGGGAACCUCCAGAAAUCCCAGAAAAGGGACAGGGACAGGGACAGGCCACAUCAGGACCAAAUCCACGCUGUGGGGUGGGAGAGGCGAGGGGGGCUCAUCCCGAGGGUGUCCUGGGGCUCAUCCUGAGCUUGCCCUGGGCUCAGGGAUGAGUUUCCAGCUCCUCAGGCUCGUCCCGAGGUUGCCUUGAGCUCAGGGAUGAGUUUGCAGCUCCUCAGGCUCACCCCAAGGUUGCCCUGGGCUCAGGGAUGAGUUUGCAGCUCCUGGGGCUCAUCCCGAGAUUGCCCUGAGCUCAGGGAUGGGUUUAAAGCUCCUGGGGCUCAUCCAAGCUUGCCCUGAGCUCAGGGAUGAGUUUAAAGCUCCUCAGGCUCGUCCCGAGGUUGCCCUGAGCUCAGGGAUGGGUUUGCAUCUCCUCAGGCUCAUCCUGAGUGCCCUGGGCUCAGGGAUGGGUUUAAAGCUCCUCAGGCUCAUCCUGAGGUUGCCCUGGGCUUGGGGCUGGGUUUGGAAUGAGCCCCCCCUGGAACUGGGCUGAGCCCCCUGCAGCUCCAGCUCGCUCUGGGCUGGGCUCUGGGAGUGUCCUGGGGGCUCCUUUUCCUGCCCCCCCCCAGAAUUUUCCUGCUUUUCUCCUGCUGCUGCUGAGUGCUGCCACCACCCUGGUGCUGCCACCACUGUCCCCUGACCCCAUUGUCCCCUGGCCAUUGUCCCCUGGCCCCUGUGCCACCCCGAGCCCCCUGCACCUCUCAUUCCCAGCAGAUUUUCGGGACCACUUUGGGAUGGUGUCACGGACCAAAACCUCAAAGCCACCUCCCUGUCCCCUCCUCCUGAGGGGUAAAACUGGAACUGGGCCGGGAGGGAGGAGCAGGAACCUCUGCAGGGUCCGGGGGCAGGGCUGGGGACAGCGGGGAUGUCCCCAAGGGGGGGUGGGACAAACGGGAAUAAGGGACCAAAGGCAGCACGUGAAACAUUCCCUGCUCCUGCUGGGGACACGGCCUUGGGGACACCUCCCUUCCUCGGGGCUGGGAUUGGGGACAGGGAAAAGGGAAUCCUGGCUGCAGUGGGGUGGGGACAGGGAUUUAGGGUGACACAGGAGCAGCCAGGAUGGGAAUUCCAGCUGCAGGGGACAGG
rnacentral:lncRNA from 1 species